rnacentral:rRNA from 1 species
CCCUUAGAUGUUCUGGGCUGCACGCGCGCUACACUGAUGCGCUCAACGAGUUUAUGACCUUGCCCGGAAGGGUUGGGUAAUCUUCUUAAAACGCAUCGUGAUGGGGAUAGAUUAUUGCAAUUAUUAAUCUUCAACGAGGAAUUCCUAGUAAGCGCGAGUCAUCAGCUCGUGCUGAUUACGUCCCUGCCCUUUGUACACACCGCCCGUCGCUCCUACCGAUUGAAUGCUCAGGUGAGCCAUUCGGACUUUCAUCAUGCUGGUUUCCAGUUUUGAUGAAGGAAAGUCUUGCGAACCUUAUCAUUUAGAGGAAGGAGAAGUCGUAACA